GACGAACGCUGGCGGCGUGCUUAACACAUGCAAGUCGAACGAAGUGGCGGAUGGGCGAGUAACACGUGAGGAACCUGCCUUUCACAGGGGAAUAACACUGGGAAACCAGUGCUAAUACCGCAUAGUGAAAGAUGGCCUCGUGCCGGAUUAGCUAGUAGGUGAGGUAACGGCUCACCUAGGUGAUGAUCAGUAGCCGGACUGGGGGUGAUUCGGCCGGAUUGGGACAGAGACACAGACCAGACUCCUACGGGAGGCAGGAGUGGGGAAUAUUGGGCAAUGGCGCAAGCCUGACCCAGCAACGCCGCGUGAAGGAAGACGGUCUUCGGAUUGUAAACUUCUGUAGACAGGGACGCGGUACCUGUAGAAUAAGCCACGGCUAACUACGUGCCAGCAGCCGCGGUAAUAC
rnacentral:rRNA from 1 species